rnacentral:rRNA from 1 species
UGCAAGUCGAGCGGUAGAGAAGAAGCUUGCUUCUUCUUGAGAGCGGCGGACGGGUGAGUAAUGCCUAGGAAUCUGCCUGGUAGUGGGGGACAACGUUUCGAAAGGAACGCUAAUACCGCAUACGUCCUACGGGAGAAAGUGGGGGAUCUUCGGACCUCACGCUAUCAGAUGAGCCUAGGUCGGAUUAGCUUGUAGGUGUGGUAAUGGCUCACCUAGGCAACGAUCCGUAACUGGUCUGAGAGGAUGAUCAGUCACACUGGAACUGAGACACGGUCCAGACUCCUACGGGAGGCAGCAGUGGGGAAUAUUGGACAAUGGGCGAAAGCCUGAUCCAGCCAUGCCGCGUGUGUGAAGAAGGUCUUCGGAUUGUAAAGCACUUUAAGUUGGGAGGAAGGGUUGUAGCUUAAUACGCUGCAACUUUGACGUUACCAACAGAAUAAGCACCGGCUAACUCUGUGCCAGCAGCCGCGGUAAUGCAGAGGGUGCAAGCGUUAAUCGGAAUUACUGGGCGUAAAGCGCGCGUAGGCGGCUUGAUAAGAUGGGUGUGAAAUCCCCGGGCUUAACCUGGGAGCUGCAUCCAUAACUGUCUGGCUAGAGUACAGUAGAGGGUGGUGGAAUUUCCUGUGUAGCGGUGAAAUGCGUAGAUAUAGGAAGGAACACCAGUGGCGAAGGCGACCACCUGGACUGAUACUGACGCUGAGGUGCGAAAGCGUGGGGAGCAAACAGGAUCAGAUACCCUGGUAGUCCACGCCGUAAACGAUGUCAACUAGCCGUUGGAAUCCUUGAGAUUUUAGUGGCGCAGCUAACGCACUAAGUUGACCGC